ensembl:lncRNA LOC108350739 uncharacterized LOC108350739
GUUUUAUUUAGCUCACGUGUAGGAGGCUUAAAAUAUAAGAUCAGCCAGCUCCAUCUGCCCAUCCUCUACUCAAGGCUCCCUCGAUCCUGUCACAACAUGGCAGGGACUCAGAAAGAAAUACCCACAUGCAGAAGAGAUGGCCUCUCUUCAUAAAAAUGCACUCUGAAGAGCAGUGACCACCCCCAACCAGGAGACAACAGUAAUCUGUUCAGAGGUAGUGUCCACAAUGAUCUGAUUUCCUCACAAUGGGCCUUAUCUCUUUCUUAAAGCUCCCUCCACUUCAGCACUGCCACUCAGAGAAACGAGUCUCCAGUAUAUGAACCUUGGGGCCCACAAGUGAGAAAGAAUCUGUCCUAUGCUGAAAGAAAGGAGAAGUUUACUGAGGACACAUUUAGGAUCACAUCUAGGAAGAAGGGGACAAUUGUGAAGAGGUCUUCCCACUGGCUGCACUGGCCCUAGGCUGCGACUCUGCAACUCUGAAGCCUUCUGGAUUUCGUUACCUGUUAGGCAGAUAGACUCUUCGAGCUACAGCUGAUGUUUGGCUUGGGAUCUCCGCAUCUGUUUUCAACCGCUGUUGGAUGAAGCCCCUCAGAAGACAGUUUUGCUAGGCUCCUGAAGAUUUAAAGCCUUCGCUGCUCUGUAGCCAAAAGGUGGAUGCUGCAAUGCGUCAUGGGAAGAUGGCUUAUGGUUCAGAUGAAUUCACCAUAAUCCUGCAGAAACCUUACUCUUUAAUCCUCUAAUGACAAUGUCGCUAAACAGAAGCCACUGCUGCCAUCAUUAAUACAUCCACACAUGACCAAGCUAAGAAAUUCCAUUUGGAAACUUUGCAUCAGAAAAUGUCAGUUCCACUGAAUUUGAAGGAAUUUCUGAUAAGAUUUCCUUGCAAAGGGACCAUCUCUUAAUGGGAUUAGAGGGUCACAGUGGUCCCCCGAGACAGUGUGUUGGAAAACCAUUUUGGAAGAAAACACAACUGGGAGAGAAUGGUAAACAUGGCUGCUAAGAGACAACUUCCGACAUUGCCAUCGAUGCAGGGUGGCUCUAUUUCUGCCUUGACUGCCGAGGGAGUGGGCUGGUAUUUUGAGCACCCUGAUGAAGAAUUAGAGAGAAGUGUUAUUGGAGUGCACAAUGUUGACUUUGUCAUGUGCCCAGGCAUAGGGCAAUCAGACCACAGGGGAAUGGGGAGAGUGAUGGCUACACCCCACUUGCUGUGAGCAUCGACACUCCUAUUGACUCCUGUUGACAUGGUGGGGCUGCAGAGUCAAGUACCCUAACAAGAACAUGUGCUCCAAGCAACUACAUUUGCAAAGACUCAGAACUCUGGCUCAGGCUGGCUCAGGACCUAUGAGAAACAUGGGCCUCUGAAGAGGUGGAGAGACAGUUGGAUUAGAAAUAGCUCAGAUAUUGCCCAGACAGGUGGGCACUCUUGAGACUGCAAGGGAAAAAAAGAAAUAAAUAGCUCAGAUACAUGAAGCCAAAACAUUCCUGCUAAGUAGAAUUACUACAGCUAGGGUAGGAGCUGUGACCUUCCCAAGAGGUCACGAGAAUAUCCUGAAUUCUUUUCCUGGCCUUAAUUGUGUUGUCUUUGUUCAUUUUGAAGUCUCUGUUUAAACAGAGAUAUAAGUAGUGUCACGCAAUAAUAAAUUUCUUCAGCAGGC